CUCAAAUUACCAACUUAUAGAAGAUUUAUUGUUCUUAUUUCCUGUGUUUUCUUAAACCUCUGUUAGAUAUUCAUAAAGUUAAGGAAACACUUUUUUAACAUAAGUUUCUAUUACUUUCAGCAUAAUGAAUGAUUUGACAGUUUUUGACUGCGGACUUAUGAAGAUAACAAGGUUGUUUUCCCACCUCUAUUUGAGAGAUAAAACUCUAGGAGGACUGAAAUGGAGAAUGAAAGCAUCUGCAGGAACUGAGCAGGGACAGUCCAGAAAUUUGAAAAUGAAAGACCAAGAUUUUUAAAAUAGACAAAUGAAAGGAGAAGAAAAGACAACAAUGACAUUUCUAAUUCUUUAGGUAAGUAGAUAGUAAAUAUGAAUAUAAAUUGUGAAAAAAAUUAAUCUUCUAAAUCCAAUGAAUAUGCAAUUUUUAUGUAGCACAGAAGAAAUUAAAUGUUUAAUUCUAGGUCUUUGCAAUUGGAAAAGUUAAAUUCAGUUAUCUUUACUGAAGAAAAGUUCUCCCACUUACCAGUCAUACCGUGCUACAACGUCUUGCGCCACUGUACAACUUAACAACAAAGCAGCACUAACAUUUUAGGUUAGGAGAUAUGAUUGUAUAAUUGAGCAAGUCAGAAACGUUAAAGAAAAAACAAACAAACAAAAAAACCCAGGUGUGAUUGUUCUGUAAAUAAUUUUUGGGUUAUACAUAAAUAUGGAAAUACUGAUGUUUGUCUCUAGUCUUAUCAGAAAAGAAGUAAAAAAAAAAAAAGUGAAUAUCUUACUAAAACAAUCAGAAGUGUCCAGGUGGUGCUCUUAGAGUACAUUAUUAA
rnacentral:lncRNA from 1 species